GACGAACGCUGGCGGCGUGCUUAACACAUGCAAGUCGAACGGAAAGGCCCUGCUUUUGUGGGGUGCUCGAGUGGCGAACGGGUGAGUAACACGUGAGUAACCUGCCCUUGACUUUGGGAUAACUUCAGGAAACUGGGGCUAAUACCGGAUAGGAGCUCCUGCUGCAUGGUGGGGGUUGGAAAGUUUCGGCGGUUGGGGAUGGACUUGCGGCUUAUCAGCUUGUUGGUGGGGUAGUGGCUUACCAAGGCUUUGACGGGUAGCCGGCCUGAGAGGGUGACCGGCCACAUUGGGACUGAGAUACGGCCCAGACUCCUACGGGAGGCAGCAGUGGGGAAUAUUGCACAAUGGGCGGAAGCCUGAUGCAGCAACGCCGCGUGCGGGAUGACGGCCUUCGGGUUGUAAACCGCUUUCGCCUGUGACGAAGCGUGAGUGACGGUAAUGGGUAAAGAAGCACCGGCUAACUACGUGCCAGCAGCCGCGGUGAUACGUAGGGUGCGAGCGUUGUCCGGAUUUAUUGGGCGUAAAGGGCUCGUAGGUGGUUGAUCGCGUCGGAAGUGUAAUCUUGGGGCUUAACCCUGAGCGUGCUUUCGAUACGGGUUGACUUGAGGAAGGUAGGGGAGAAUGGAAUUCCUGGUGGAGCGGUGGAAUGCGCAGAUAUCAGGAGGAACACCAGUGGCGAAGGCGGUUCUCUGGGCCUUUCCUGACGCUGAGGAGCGAAAGCGUGGGGAGCGAACAGGCUUAGAUACCCUGGUAGUCCACGCUGUAAACGGUGGGUACUAGGUGUGGGGUCCAUUCCACGGGUUCCGUGCCGUAGCUAACGCUUUAAGUACCCCGCCUGGGGAGUACGGCCGCAAGGCUAAAACUCAAAGGAAUUGACGGGGCCCCGCACAAGCGGCGGAGCAUGCGGAUUAAUUCGAUGCAACGCGUAGAACCUUACCUGGGUUUGACAUGGAUCGGGAGUGCUCUGAGAUGGGUGUGCCUCUUUUGGGGUCGGUUCACAGGUGGUGCAUGGCUGUCGUCAGCUCGUGUCGUGAGAUGUUGGGUUAAGUCCCGCAACGAGCGCAACCCUUGUUCACUGUUGCCAGCACGUUAUGGUGGGGACUCAGUGGAGACCGCCGGGGUCAACUCGGAGGAAGGUGGGGAUGACGUCAAGUCAUCAUGCCCCUUAUGUCCAGGGCUUCACGCAUGCUACAAUGGCCGGUACAGAGAGUGGCGAGCCUGUGAGGGUGAGCGAAUCUCGGAAAGCCGGUCUCAGUUCGGAUUGGGGUCUGCAACUCGACCUCAUGAAGUCGGAGUCGCUAGUAAUCGCAGAUCAGCAACGCUGCGGUGAAUACGUUCCCGGG
rnacentral:rRNA from 1 species